UUUGCCCACGGCCGAAUGUUCUAGAUUAUUUCGAUAAUUGUAUUUAAGGGCUUGGGCUCCCACAGUAGUGGUAGAGAUUCUUGUCGGCAGAAAGUGACUGUUGAGAGGAGCUAAGAGAACUACGAUGGUUCCUCAAAAGUCGCCUGGAGCAAUUUGUGUGAAUGUUUCGAGAGAAGAUUUCAGGGGAGACAUUUUAAUGUUUACAGUGUGAAUAGAUGAUGGCAUUGGCUGUGUGUGCUCAAGAGGUGUGUUGCUCAAAUCGAAUUCUAGCCCGUCCCUGUUCGAUAACUUCAGUAUUUGUCAUUAUGAUUUUACCCUUCACAUCUGGAGACCAACGGAUUUGGCCGCAAACCGUGGGGAGAGGUGGAAGGGGAGGGUUCGAUAUCAAGUAGCACCACCUGCAACUUCAAAGUGGCUUAAUGACGAUGAUGUUGGCCUAUCUUAGCGCCUUAACCAAGAGCUUCACUCUCCUUCGUCGUCUGUUCUCUUGCUCUUAGUAACUUUGGAAAAGCAAGAAGGGCUGCUUAGUCUGUACGUCUGAAGCUCUCAAAACGUGCUCCCCGCACUUCGCUACCCUGUUCAAGUACAAAGAAGGACGUGAAUUGAGGUAUUUUACAAAAAGAAAAACUGAUAGUCGGUACCACAACGGAAAUCUGCAAACAAGCCAGAAGGCAAGAGGACACAUGAGCCUCUAAUCUCUUUUUCAGGGUAAAGAUCAGAACAAUUGGGGGUCUAAAGUGAUCCUCCACUGCUUUGUUUCUGCUUUACUUCGCUGUGUGAUUGGGCCGGAAAACCCGCGUCGUCCUCACGAUUAAUCAAACUCGAAACUAAAACCAAUGGAGACUUAGACACUUUUGUUUUCCAAAGCUUUAUCUUUAUCUAGUUUUUACUCUGUGUUCUCAUUAGCUCCUUGUAACAUUUUUCUUUCUUCUCAUUGGCUGUUGCGAUCACUUUGGUUUUCGGUUUUUUGGGGGCCACUGGCUGUUGCGAUCACUUUGGUUUUCGGUUUUUUGGGGGCCACUGGCUGUUGCGAUCACUUUGGUUUUCGGGUUUUUGGGGGCCGGGCUCCUCUGUCAAAUGCGCUGAUGCUGAUGCAGUCGAUAAUGAACGAACACAAGAGACGAAAGAAGCAGAUUUCCCUGGUGUCUGUAUCAUUAAGGAAACCGGAACGGGUCGAGGAAUGAUAUAUUUAUUAGCUGUUAUGGCCAAAGGCGCUUAUCGGGGGAGGGUGGUCAUUGGUUGGGGUGGGCGUUUAUUUAAGGGAGAGUGUUUCUCUUGCAAAUUCUUACUUUCGCAUAUUUUCCUCAGUAAAAUGAAGUCUUUACUUUCCA